GGAUGUGAGGGUGAUCCGGCUGCCACGUCUGUCAUCCCAUUGAUGGCCAGGGUUGAUUCAGCUGAUCUGGCUGACUGGGUGGGUGUCCCCUUCUUCCCUCACCAUUCCAUGUGCAUCCCUCCCGCUAGAGGAGGACCAGUCUUUGGUCAAGGGUAUAUGAGUAGCUGCGCUCCCCUGCUAGAACCUCCAAACAAGCUCUCAAGAUAGUGCACUCAUUUGUGUAAAAGAAAUGUAUGCAAGACAAAUGUGAAAAAAAUAUGACUGUCUCUUU
rnacentral:snRNA from 1 species